AUGACUCCGGGCUGCUGCUGCUCUCUGUCCUCCUCCGCCUCUCCUUCUCCUCUGCUGCUGCUGCUGCUACCGCCUCUCUGCUGCAGCCGCCUUCCGAACUUGAAGUUGCAGUAGCUGUCGCAGACAUUUUCUCGCCAUUCUUGUCUCCCGAAUAGUCCGCCGAGGACAGGUUUUCCGUGGUGCCAUACGCCGUCUCGAAAAACUGGUCGAAAGCCUGGGGCAGGACCCCGUUCCUCCCCACCGUGCUAUAGAAAUUGGACGAGACGGUGGUGGUGGGGUGGUAGACGUUUGCUGUGUUUUUGCCGAACAUCUCGCCCAUGCUAGCCGUGUUGGUGGCAGGCAGGCAGUCUCUGUGCAUGAUCUCCUCUGCUGAGUAGCAGUGGGGCAGAUUGUUCCUGGGGUGCCAUUUACUGGCGGGGUCAAUGGCAUACUCCCUGAAGAGAACAAAAAGACGCAUGACAUUUUUUCCUACUUAUCAGUUUGACCAAUUGCACCAGGUCGCUGUGGAGUAGAAAGAAUUAGCAAUUCCCACAUGUUAGGUGCAAGAGACUUCUGACAAAUGUGGGGCGCAGGGGAUAGAUGUCC